rnacentral:rRNA from 1 species
CCCGCUGAACUUAAGCAUAUCAUUAAGCGGAGGAAGAGAAACUAACAAGGAUUCCCUUAGCUAACUGCGAGUGAAGUGGGAAAAGCUCAAAUUUAGAAUCUGGCAGCCACUUGGCUGUCCGAGUUGUAAUCUAAAGAAGUGUUGCCCGUGCUGGACCAUGUACAAGUCUCCUGGAAUGGAGCAUCACAGAGGGUGAGAAUCCUGUCUUUGACAUGUGACUGCCAGUGCUUUUGUGGUACGCUGCUCAAAGAGUCGAGUUGUUUGGGAAUGCAGCUCAAAAUGGGUGGUAAAUGCCAUCUAAAGCUAGAUAUUGGCGAGAGACCGAUAGCGAACAAGUACCGUGAGGGAAAGAUGAAAAGAACUUUGGAAAGAGAGUUAAACAGUACGUGAAAUUGCUGAAAGGGAAACGCUUGAAGUCAGUCACGUUGACUUGGAAUCAGCUCUGCUUUUGCUGGGUGUACUUUCUUGUCAAUGGGUCAGCAUCAAUUUUGACCAUUGGAUAAAGUUGCUGGGAAUGUAGCAUCCUUUUGGAUGUGUUAUAGCCUGGUGAUGCAUACAGUGGUUGGGAUUGAGGAAUUCAGCACGCCACCAGGCCGGGUUUUGACCACGUUCGUGCUUAGGAUGCUGGCAUAAUGGCUUUAAUUGACCCGUCUUGAAACACGG